UACGCCUACGGGACGCAGCAGUGGGGAAUAUUGCACAAUGGGGGGAACCCUGAUGCAGCGACGCCGCGUGGGUGAAGGAGUAUUUCGGUAUGUAAAGCCCUAUCAGCAGGGAAGAACUAUGACGGUACCUGACUAAGAAGCACCGGCUAAAUACGUGCCAGCAGCCGCGGUAAUACGUAUGGUGCAAGCGUUAUCCGGAUUUAUUGGGUGUAAAGGGCGCGUAGGCGGACUGUCAAGUCAGUCGUGAAAUACCGAAGCUUAACUUCGGGGCUGCGAUUGAAACUGACAGCCUUGAGUAUCGGAGG
rnacentral:rRNA from 1 species